GACGAACGCUGGCGGCGUGCUUAACACAUGCAAGUCGAACGGAAAGGCCCUGCUUUUGUGGGGUGCUCGAUUGGCGAACGGGUGUGUAACACGUGAGUAACCUGCCCUUGUCUUUGGGAUAACUUCAGGAAACUGGGGCUAAUACCGGAUAGGAGCUCCUGCUGCACGGUGGUGGUUGGUAAGUUUCGGCGGUUGGGGAUGGUCUCGCGGCUUAUCAGCUUGUUGGUGGGGUAGUUGAUUACCAAGGGUUCGACGGGUAGCCGGCCUGAGAGGCGUACCGGGCACAAUGGGACUACGAGAGGGACCAGAAUCCAACGGGAGGCAGUAGGCGGGAAUCUUGCAGAACGGGCGGAAGCCUGAUGCAGAGACCUCGCGAGCGUGAUACCGGCUUUCGGGGUGUAAACCGCUUUCGCCUGUAACGAAGAGUGAGUGACGGUAAUGGGUAAAGAAGCAACGGCUAACUACGUG
rnacentral:rRNA from 1 species